AACGAACGCUGGCGGCAUGCCUAACACAUGCAAGUCGAACGAGACCUUCGGGUCUAGUGGCGCACGGGUGCGUAACGCGUGGGAACCUGCCCUUAGGUUCGGAAUAACUCCCCGAAAGGGGUGCUAAUACCGGAUAAUGUCUUCGGACCAAAGAUUUAUCGCCUUUGGAUGGGCCCGCGUUGGAUUAGCUAGUUGGUAGGGUAAAAGCCUACCAAGGCGACGAUCCAUAGCUGGUCUGAGAGGAUGAUCAGCCACACUGGGACUGAGACACGGCCCAGACUCCUCCGGGAGGCAGCGGGGGGGAGUUUGGGACAAGGGGCGAAGGCCGGACCCCGCAGUCCCGGGUGAGUGAUGAGGCCUUUAGGGUUUAAAAGCUUUUUUACCCGGGAGAAUAAUGACGGUCCCGGAAAAAAAAGCCCCGGCUACCCCCGUC
rnacentral:rRNA from 1 species